CGAGCGAACUCUCGUUAAGGAACUCGGCAAAAUGACCCCGUAACUUCGGGAGAAGGGGUGCUCUUUAGGGUUAACGCCCAGAAGAGCCGCAGUGAAUAGGCCCAAGCGACUGUUUAUCAAAAACACAGGUCUCUGCUAAACCGUAAGGUGAUGUAUAGGGGCUGACGCCUGCCCGGUGCUGGAAGGUUAAGAGGAGUGGUUAGCUUCUGCGAAGCUACGAAUCGAAGCCCCAGUAAACGGCGGCCGUAACUAUAACGGUCCUAAGGUAGCGAAAUUCCUUGUCGGGUAAGUUCCGACCCGCACGAAAGGCGUA
rnacentral:rRNA from 1 species